rnacentral:rRNA from 1 species
UUUAUUGGAGAGUUUGAUCCUGGCUCAGGAUGAACGCUGGCGGCGUGCCUAAUACAUGCAAGUCGAGCGAAUGGAUUAAGAGCUUGCUCUUAUGAAGUUAGCGGCGGACGGGUGAGUAACACGUGGGUAACCUGCCCAUAAGACUGGGAUAACUCCGGGAAACCGGGGCUAAUACCGGAUAAUAUUUUGGACCUCAUGGUUCAAAAUUGAAAGGCGGCUUCGGCUGUCACUUAUGGAUGGACCCGCGUCGCAUUAGCUAGUUGGUGAGGUAACGGCUCACCAAGGCAACGAUGCGUAGCCGACCUGAGAGGGUGAUCGGC